ACACCCGGCAGAAUUCACGGGGGCGGACAUUACCUGCUUGCGACAGUGGAAGGAUGAGUUCCGCGGGCC
rnacentral:SRP_RNA from 1 species